UACGGGGGGAGCAAGCGUUGUUCGGAUUUACUGGGCGUAAAGGGCGCGUAGGCGGCUCAACAAGUCACUUGUGAAAUCUCCGGGCUUAACUCGGAACGGUCAAGUGAUACUGUCGAGCUAGAGUACAGAAGGGGCAACUGGAAUUCUCGGUGUAGCGGUGAAAUGCGUAGAUAUCGAGAGGAACACCUGCGGCGAAGGCGGGUUGCUGGGCUGAUACUGACGCUGAGGCGCGAAAGCCAGGGGAGCGAACGGG
rnacentral:rRNA from 1 species